rnacentral:rRNA from 1 species
UUUUGGAAGUGUAAAAAUCGUAACAAGGUUUCCGUAGGUGAACCUGCGGAAGGAUCAUUAGCGAGUCUUUGAAGUGGGGAUUGCAGCUGGCUUUUAUUGGCAUGUGCUCACUCUACUCAAUUCCACUCUACACACCUGUGCACUUACUGUGGGCUUUUUGGUAUUGUUGGUCAGUGACGACUUUUCAAUCUGGAAGGCCUAUGUUAUGUUUUACUACAAACGUCCAGUCAACAGAAUGUGUAUCAUUGAUGUUAAUGCAUCUAUAUAUAACUUUUAGCAACGGAUCUCUUGGCUCUCGCAUCGAUGAAGAACGCAGCGAAAUGCGAUAAGUAAUGUGAAUUGCAGAAUUCAGUGAAUCAUCGAAUCUUUGAACGCACCUUGCGCUCCUUUCAACGGAGGAGCACGCCUGUUUGAGUGUCAUGAAUAUCUCAAUCUAACACACUUGUUGUUAGAGUUGGAUUUGGAGGCCUUUGUUGGUACAUUGGUAUCGGCUCCUCUCAAAUGCAUUAGCUUGGUUCCUUGCGGAUCGGUAUACCUCGGUGUGAUAGCUGUUUACGCUGUGGCCAUGAAGUGUUUUGGCCAGCUUCUAAUUGAAAGACAAUGAUUGACAAUCUGACCUCAAAUCAGGUGGGACUACCCGCUGAACUUAAGCAUAUCAAUA